CAUCAUCAAAGAACAACCAAAAGUUUACAGUCAUACAACAUUAAAGCAAAUCAAAAUUUACCUGCAACUUUUAUAGCAGAAGAAUUUCUCCUCUGCAUUCAAAGUCUCUGAGGAACUAAUAUUCUUCUGCAGCUGGUUAUUGAACUGUUCUGUUCAAUGUUGAAGGCUCAAAUUGUUCAUAAGACAUGCAUAUCAAAUGGAUAAGGUAGCUGAUUAAUCCUGCACUAUAAUAUGGUGUAGGUAUUUUUUUGGUUAACUUCUUAAGUGUAUGCAUCAGCUUUUGUUGAUGAAAUACAUCACUUAUUAUUUUUCUGUUUUAAGAGGUGAACUAAAUAUAACAGAACAGAGACAUGAUGCUAAAGUUGUUGCCUUCCAGUUUCUUGGAUAGAGAGAUUUCGUUAUGUUUCUAUUACCUACUUCUUAUUAAUUUCUAUUUGCUAUUAGCAGUUGUUGGUCCAUUUCCGUGCUUUUUGUGUUUUUUGAUUGAUGCUACAUCCUUUGGUUGCAUUAUUGAAAAAGUACUACAUGCUUUGAUUGUACCUAUAUUAUGGUCCAGAGUGUGGAUGGUUUGAAGUGAUGCUACAUUCCGACGCUUUGGUAAAUGCUUAACACAUAUUUGCUGAAAGGAACAGAGAUAGGAAAUUGUAUUUGCUAUACUAGUUAUAUUUACUGCAGAGUAUCAAUGGAAUCAAAUCGUCACUGCUAUGGAGAAAGUCAUCUUUGAAGAAGAAGCCGGCGACUAGAGUGUUUUGCUUUUGGUACUCCACGGAAGCUGAUUAUUUUUCAAUUAGACUUUUAAAGAUAAGGAGGUUUUGUGGGCUUGGAAAUUGGGGUUGCAGCCAGUGGAGGAGGUUGGUAUCUCCUUAGGAGUUUGUCUUCUUUACAAUGUGGUAGGCAUCAGCUGGAGAGUAUCACUUGUUAAAUGAGAGUAGUAAAUAGCGCAAAGGUUUUGGUCAAAUAAACUGA